UACGGAGGGGGCUAGCGUUGUUCGGAAUUACUGGGCGUAAAGCGCACGUAGGCGGCUUUGCAAGUUAGAGGUGAAAGCCCGGGGCUCAACUCCGGAAUUGCCUUUAAAACUGCAUCGCUAGAAUUGUGGAGAGGUAAGUGGAAUUCCCAGUGUAGUGGUGAAAUACGUAGAGAUUGGGAAGAACACCAGUGGCGAAGGCGGCUAUCUGGACGGUUUCUGACACUAAGACUCGAAAGCGUGGGAGCAAACAGG
rnacentral:rRNA from 1 species